rnacentral:sRNA from 1 species
AUUUGUAAGAGUGAGUAUAACAACUAGAACCAAACCAGAUCUUAAAAGCCUAAGUAUUGAAUCUUUGUUAGAAGAUACAAAGACAAAGACUCAUACAGACUUCCACUACACCAAUAAAGCUUUGAGAAGCAAGAAGAAGCUUGGUUAGUGUUUUGAAGUAGAAUAUGACUUUA